CCGGGAACUCGGUGAGACUGGAAUACCCGAUCCCAUUCCGACCUCGAUGCUGUGAAUCGUCUUGCGCCAUAUGUACUGAGAUUGUCGAUUGUUCGGGAGACAUGGUCCGACCCGGUCUAA
rnacentral:rRNA from 1 species